GUAGGUGAACCUGCGGAAGGAUCAUUACGAGUCGCGGACUUUUUUGUCCGCUACCCUUCCAAACCCCAGUGAAUUUGUUCAUGUUGCUUCGGCGGGCCCGAAUUUUUUUCCUGGCUGCCCUCGCGGUGGCUGGAGCGCCCGCCAGAAGACCCCUUUUUUCCUUACUGGUGAAUGUCUGAAAACAAAACAAAAUAAACUAAAACUUUCAACAACGGAUCUCUUGGUUCUC
rnacentral:misc_RNA from 1 species